rnacentral:lncRNA from 1 species
UCAACAAUGCAUUCCAAAACCAACAUACAACAUCAACAUGCAGAAACUUAAAUUUUUAAGUAAACCCUCCCUACUUAACCUGCAAUCGACUAUGUGAAGGCAAACUAAGGUAAUUGGGACUUAAGAAACAAUAUUGAAAAGAUGCCACGAGGUUACAUUGAUAAAUAGAUUCAAUUCUUAUCUCAACAAGAUGGUUUAA